CUGUAAGCCGUUGAAGGUGACCUGUGAGGGUUGCUGGAGGUAUCAGAAGUGCGAAUGCUGACAUAAGUAACGAUAAUGCGGGUGAAAAACCCGCACGCCGGAAGACCAAGGGUUCCUGUCCAACGUUAAUCGGGGCAGGGUGAGUCGACCCCUAAGGCGAGGCUGAAAAGCGUAGUCGAUGGGAAACAGGUUAAUAUUCCUGUACUUGGUGUUACUGCGAAGGGGGGACGGAGAAGGCUAGGCUAGCCGGGCGACGGUUGUCCCGGUUUAAGCAUGUAGGCGGAGCGACUUGGUAAAUCCGGUUGCUUAUCAACGCUGAGGUGUGAUGACGAGUCACUACGGUGAUGAAGUAGUUGAUGCCAAGCUUCCAGGAAAAGCCUCUAAGCAUCAGGUAACAUUAAAUCGUACCCCAAACCGACACAGGUGGUCAGGUAGAGAAUACUCAGGCGCUUGAGAGAACUCGGGUGAAGGAACUAGGCAAAAUGGUGCCGUAACUUCGGGAGAAGGCACGCUGGCAUUAGGUAAAGAGACUUGCUCUCGGCGCCGAAGCCAGUCGCAGAUACCAGCUGGCUGCAACUGUUUAAUAAAAACACAGCACUGUGCAAACACGAAAGUGGACGUAUACGGUGUGACGCCUGCCCGGUGCUGGAAGGUUAAUUGAUGGGGUCAGCCGCAAGGCGAAGCUCUUGAUCGAAGCCCCAGUAAACGGCGGCCGUAACUAUAACGGUCCUAAGGUAGCGAAAUUCCUUGUCGGGUAAGUUCCGACCUGCACGAAUGGCGUAAUGAUGGCCAGGCUGUCUCCACCCGAGACUCAGUGAAAUUGAACUCGCUGUGAAGAUGCAGUGUACCCGCGGCAAGACGGAAAGACCCCGUGAACCUUUACUAUAGCUUGACACUGAACAUUGAGCCUUGAUGUGUAGGAUAGGUGGGAGGCAUUGAAGUGUGGACGCCAGUCUGCAUGGAGCCAACCUUGAAAUACCACCCUUUAAUGU
rnacentral:rRNA from 1 species